GGCCGCGCUGGGCGGUGAGGGCGGUGGCCGCGCUGACGAUGCGGUCGGCCGUCAGCGCCGGCAGUCCCGCCGCGGCCCGCGACCG
rnacentral:tRNA from 1 species